rnacentral:lncRNA from 10 species
AAGAGGGUGAAUUGGACAGCUUUACAGAUGCCUCAUGUUAGGAAAUUUUCCUGGAUUUGAGUCUUCAAUGUGGGAGCAGAGUUACCUGAAUAUAUGGAGUUGAUGGAGACAUUCCUUGAUGAGAAGCAGAAAUUCCCCAGGGACCUUGUAAAUCUGAAGCAGAUAAAGGGAAAUGAAGAAACCAAGUUUUACAACUUUGAUGAGUGGCAAAAUUUGUCAAUAAGAGCUAGAUAUUAAGUAAUUAGCUUUUAGGAAGCAAAGUGUAUUGGACUUGGCUAUGAUAUGAAGGAAUUCAUUUAAUAAAUCAAAACGAAAACAAAAACAACAAAAACAAAGAAGCGAAGCAUGAAUCUCCUAAUCAGCAGAAAAGGGAGGACAGCCGGAGACAAUCGUAUUCCUGAUCGAUACUGAUGUAAACUUGUGCUGGAACAAUGGGACCAUCUCGUUGCAGGAAAACAAGCUCAGGGCUCCCACUGAUUCUACAUUAUGG